CAAUAGCGUAUAUUUAAGUUGUUGCAGUUAAAAAGCUCGUAGUUGGAUUUCGGGUGGGACGCAGCGGUCUCGCAUUGCGUUUGUACUGCUGCAGCCCUCCUUCUUGCCGGGGGCAGCCUCUCGGACUUCACUGUCUGGGGGUCAGAAUCGGCGAUGUUACUUUGAGUAAAUUAGAGUGUUCAAAGCAAGCUUACGCUCUGAAUAUAAUAGCAUGGGAUAACACGACAGGACUCUGGCCUAUCGUGUUGGUCUAUAGGACCAGAGUAAUGAUUAAGAGGGACAGUCGGGGGCAUUCGUAUUCCGUUGUCAGAGGUGAAAUUCUUGGAUUUACGGAAGACGAACAUCUGCGAAAGCAUUUGCCAAGGAUGUUUUCAUUGA
rnacentral:rRNA from 1 species